CAUUUCCUACGGGGGGCAGCAGUCGGGAAUAUUGCGCAAUGGAGGAAACUCUGACGCAGUGACGCCGCGUGCAGGAAGAAGGUUUUCGGAUUGUAAACUGCUUUAGACAGGGAAGAAACAAGACAGUACCUGUAGAAUAAGCUCCGGCUAACUACGUGCCAGCAGCCGCGGUAAUACGUAGGUGGCAAGCGUUAUCCGGAUUUACUGGGUGUAAAGGGCGUGUAGGCGGGACUGCAAGUCAGAUGUGAAAACUCAGGGCUCAACCCUGAGCCUGCAUUUGAAACUGUAGUUCUUGAGUACUGGAG
rnacentral:rRNA from 1 species